rnacentral:rRNA from 1 species
CCUACGGGAGGCAGCAGUGGGGAAUAUUGCACAAUGGGCGCAAGCCUGAUGCAGCAACGCCGCGUGAGGGAUGAAGGCCUUCGGGUUGUAAACCUCUUUUAGCAGGGAAGAAGCGAAAGUGACGGUACCUGCAGAAAAAGCGCCGGCUAACUACGUGCCAGCAGCCGCGGUAAUACGUAGGGCGCAAGCGUUGUCCGGAAUUAUUGGGCGUAAAGAGCUCGUAGGCGGUUUGUCGCGUCUGCUGUGAAAAUCCGAGGCUCAACCUCGGACCUGCAGUGGGUACGGGCAAACUAGAGUGCGGUAGGGGAGAUUGGAAUUCCUGGUGUAGCGGUGGAAUGCGCAGAUAUCAGGAGGAACACCAAUGGCGAAGGCAGAUCUCUGGGCCGUAACUGACGCUGAGGAGCGAAAGCGUGGGGAGCGAACAGGAUUAGAUACCCUGGUAGUCCACGCCGUAAACGGUGGGAACUAGAUGUAGGGACCGUUCCACGGUUUCUGUGUCGCAGCUAACGCAUUAAGUUCCCCGCCUGGGGAGUACGGCCGCAAGGCUAAAACUCAAAGGAAUUGACGG